GAAGCAUAUAUAUAUAUACACAUACAUAUGUACAUACGGCUCUUGCCCUCUCGAUUAUGCUGAUAAGACAAAUAUGUAUGAAGCCGCUCCGCUGUUGGCGUAACCGGCAGCGCAGCUAUGCGGUCUGAGUUAUAAGAAUAAAUUCAAUAAAGAUAUUCUAAAAACCGAACUCAAACGGCACAGACGUGCCCGUGUUAUAAUUGAACAAGUGACAUAUUACAAUAUACCUCUGGACAUCGUGCUCCUCAAUAAGGGUGUGCAACAUACCUUCUCCAGAGCAGGAAUCGAAUCGAUCGGUGACCUCACAUUCGUCAGCAGCUCAAGCCGCCGGGGAGAGCGUCGUCGUAUAGGCCAAUCUGCAUGAUCGACACAGCGGGCAAACUGUUUGAGAAAGUGGUAUCCUCACGAAAGGAACGAUCCAUCGCGGAGGCUGGCGACCUCUUACCGCAAGGCUAGAUCCACGAUCGACGCCGUUGGUAGAGUGGUGGACAUUGCUUCUAGAAACCCCCGGAAUACAAACUGGGAAAAGUUUAAAAAGAAAGUUACUUCGAAGCUCGCGAAACCGGGCUCAGUGAAAUCUGCGGAGGAUAUAGAGAAGUCCCUAGAGACCCAAUCCAAGGAGUUACUGGAUGCCUACCACGUAUCGUGCUACCCCUCAAGAAUAAAGAAGAGGUAGAAACCACUCUGGUGGAACCGGGAUUUUUCUCUCCAAAGGAAAAACCUCAAGGAAUUCUAUAAGAUCGCCAAACAAGCGAACGAAGAGAUCGUUUAUGAGGAAUACAAACUCCCACUUAGGAGCUACAAGAAGGAAACACGUAACAACGAAACUCGUGAAGGAAAUUCUACUCCAACAUCGAGAAAAAACCUGAAACUUCAAGACUCCGAAAGCUGCUUUCAAAGUAGCCCAUCUUACAAAGUCAAUUAAAGCUAGAUGACGGACAGUGGACAGAGGGGGCAGAGGGCAGUGAAGAAGCCCUAACAGCACUAAUGAAGACGCCUUUCCCUGGAUGUACCGAAAGCACUGAUGCCAAAGAGCAUCAGGACCAAGCAACCGAGGAACAAUAACCCCCAACAGAUCUAAUAACCUCUAAGGGAAUCCAUUGGGCUAUAGAUUCCUUCGCGGUCAUAAAAACACCUGGACUGGACGGAAUAUUCCCAGCCAUGAUGCAGGUGACCAAAGAGUUGUCGCGAGUUGUGUUGCUCCCAAAUAAGAACACAUGAGUGCGAACACUAUUUACCUCAUAUUAUUGUGUGCCUGGGUUUAAUAAAAAAAAGAACGUAUGUACCUGGCAA